rnacentral:rRNA from 1 species
GACGAACGCUGGCGGCGUGCCUAACACAUGCAAGUCGAGCGGAAAUAAUUGAAAGCUUGCUUUUGGUUAUUUCAGCGGCGGACGGGUGAGUAACGCGUGGGCAACCUGCCUGUUACAGGGGGAUAACACAGGGAAACUUGUGCUAAUACCGCAUAACACAGCGAGGUAGCAUUACCUUGUUGUCAAAGGAGAAAUCCGGUGACAGAUGGGCCCGCGUCCAAUUAGCUAGUUGGUGAUGUAACGGACCACCAAGGCGACGAUUGGUAGCCGAACUGAGAGGUUGAUCGGCCACAUUGGGACUGAGACACGGCCCAGACUCCUACGGGAGGCAGCAGUGGGGAAUAUUGCACAAUGGGGGAAACCCUGAUGCAGCAACGCCGCGUGAAGGAUGAAGGUUUUCGGAUUGUAAACUUCUUUAGUCAGGGACGAAAAAAAUGACGGUACCUGAAGAAUAAGCCACGGCUAACUACGUGCCAGCAGCCGCCGUAA